CCUACGGGAGGCUGCAGUGAGGAAUAUUGGUCAAUGGGCGGGAGCCUGAACCAGCCAAGUCGCGUGAGGGAAGACGGUCCUAUGGAUUGUAAACCUCUUUAGGCGGGGAGAAAUGCCGGGCACGCGUGCCCGGAGGGAGAGUACCCGCAGUAUAAGCAUCGGCAAACUCCGGGCCAGCAGCCGCGGUAAUACGGAGGAUGGGAGCGUUAUCCGGAUUUAUUGGGGUAAAAGGGUGCGAAGGCGGGUGUUUACGUCAGCGGUAAACUGUCCGGGCUCAACCCGGGCCGGCCGUUGAUACUGGGGAUCUUGAGUGGGCGAGAGGUAUGCGGAAUGCGUGGUGUAGCGGUGAAAUGCAUAGAUAUCAGGUAGAACUCCGAUUGCGAAGGCAGCAUACCGGCGCCCGACUGACGCUGAGGCACGAAAGCGUGGGGAUCGAACAGGAUUAGAUACCCUUGUAGUC
rnacentral:rRNA from 1 species